UACACUCCUGCGGGAGGCAGCAGUGGGGAAUAUUGGACAAUGGGCGCAAGCCUGAUCCAGCCAUGCCGCGUGAGUGAUGAAGGCCCUAGGGUUGUAAAGCUCUUUCACCGGUGAAGAUAAUGACGGUAACCGGAGAAGAAGCCCCGGCUAACUUCGUGCCAGCAGCCGCGGUAAUACGAAGGGGGCUAGCGUUGUUCGGAUUUACUGGGCGUAAAGCGCACGUAGGCGGACUAUUAAGUCAGGGGUGAAAUCCCGGGGCUCAACCCCGGAACUGCCUUUGAUACUGGUAGUCUUGAGUUCGAGAGAGGUGAGUGGAAUUCCGAGUGUAGAGGUGAAAUUCGUAGAUAUUCGGAGGAACACCAGUGGCGAAGGCGGCUCACUGGCUCGAUACUGACGCUGAGGUGCGAAAGCGUGGGGAGCAAACAGGAUUAGAAACCCCUGUAGUCCCAUG
rnacentral:rRNA from 1 species